rnacentral:lncRNA from 1 species
GGAAAGUGAAAGCGCUUUAGUCUCAACAUUUUUUUAGAUUUUAGUGGGAAAAUUUUAAUUCGAAAAUUUAUCAAGUUGUAAUUGCAGAAAUACCAAAAAAAACAUACUUUAGCGAGUGUGAUUUGUGAAGAACUUUUGAUUUUUUCAAAAUAAAUAUAACUUACAAAUAAAAUUGAUUUUGAAGGAAAAAACAGCAUGAUAUUUUUGAAAACAUUUUUUAUUCUAAUCGUGAGUUUGAUUGUAAUAUCAGAAAGUUUAAAAUAUACCAUGUCCAACGGCGACACUGUUGAAUAUGGUUGUUUUGCUGAAGAAGCCGUUUGUUACAGGUUUCGUUCAAGUAACUCGAUGUACUGGUGCUAUACAAGAGGUGUUAACGAUAAAGUGAUGGCAAAAGUUGCGUGUAGAAGCGAUAACGAUUGUAUUGAUAAGAUUCAUUGUAUUUUACCGUAUAUUUUUAGAUUACGUAAUAUAAAAUGUCAUAAAUAGUACAUUUGAAAUGUGGAAUUUCAAACGGGUAUUAGUACAUUAUACUCAAUUUAAUAAUUCAAGAUUACCUUAGAUUUAUA